AUGAUUGAGUUAGGGAGUUCAAGUGGUGCUGCUAAUGAGGAAAGGAGGCUAUGGAAUAUUAUUUGGAAGGCUCAGGUCCCUCAGAAAAUCAGAAUUUUUGCAUGGCGUGCUGCGACACAAAGUUUGGCGGUUCAAGUUAACAGAGUUAAACACCACCAAACUACCAUUGGUCUGUGCUCGAUUUGUGGCGUAGAAGAUGAAUCUGUAUUUCAUGCACUGGUAAGCUGUCCUAAGGCUCGUGCGUUACGUCUGGCGGUAAGGGAGGUGUGGAAUUUACCAGAUGAAGUGGUUUUCAAUUUUACGGGGCCGGAUUGGUUACUUGUCUUAUUGGAUCAAGUAAGGCCGCCGGUGCGUGAGCAAAUUAUAUUCAUGUUUUGGAGGGCUUGGCAUCUGAGGAAUGAUUUGAUUUUUGGUAAGGGAAAG
rnacentral:rRNA from 1 species